CCGGUACUUGGCGUACAGGGCGUUGUUCUCGUCGUUGAUGAUGGCGUAAUAGGGGGUCUCACCCUCCGCGCCGGU
rnacentral:tRNA from 1 species